GUUGGUAUUCCAGCCAGCCAACUGGAUUCUCGGAUUGAUGACUUCACUGGCUUCAGCAAACAUGGGCUGGUGCAGAAACCUGGUAGAAAUACACUUGUAGAAAGAAUCAUUACCAGCAAUUUCUCUGCAGAUGACCUAAAAUGCAGAGAAAUACUCCCUUUUCUAAAAAGCCGAGAAGAAAUUAGUGCUGAUAUAAAAUACCAGUUAGUGAAGGAAAUUCAAUGCUUUGGACAAAAAUAUGAAAAAAUCUUCAAAUUGCUUGAAGGAGUGCAAGGACCUAUAGAAAUCAAAAAACAAUUUUUUGAAUCCAACAUCAAGGAAGCAGCAAGGUAUGUGCGAGGAGACUUAAUUCCGCACCUUGAGAAGAAACUGGAAGAAAUGACAUCUGGCUACUUGUCCAAGAAGGAACAUCAGACCCUAAAUGCAUAAUCUCUUUAAUGAUUGAGGAGAAAAGAGGAUCAACUUGCUCUUUUUUACA